rnacentral:rRNA from 1 species
UACGUAGGGGGCGAGCGUCGUUCGGAAUCACUGGGUGUAAAGGGUCUGCAAGCGGACUUUCAAGUCAGAGGUGAAAUCCUGCAGCUUAACUGUAGAACUGCCUUUGAAACUGUUGGUCUUGAGUCCGGGAGAGGAUGGCGGAAUUCCUGGUGUAGCGGUGAAAUGCGUAGAUAUCAGGAAGAACACCGGUGGUGAAGACGGCCAUCUGGACCGGUACUGACGCCCGGAGACGAAAGCGUGGGUAGCAAACAGG